UACGUAGGAGGCGAGCGUUGUCCGGAUUUACUGGGCGUAAAGGGCGCGCAGGCGGCCCACCAAGUACGAUGUGAAAUCUCCCUGCUCAACGGGGAGGGUGCACUGUAAACUGAGUAGCUAGAGUACUAAAGAGGGUCGCGGAAUUCCCGGUGUAGAGGUGAAAUUCGUAGAUAUCGGGAGGAACACCGGUGGCGAAGGCGGCGACCUGGGUAGAUACUGACGCUGAGGCGCGAAAGCGUGGGGAGCAAACAGG
rnacentral:rRNA from 1 species